CGUUCCUGUACGAUCACUGAAGUUAAGCAAUGUCGAACAUGGUUAGUACCUAGAUGGGUGACUGUUUGGGAAUACCAGGUGAUGUAAG